GUGAGGUAAAAGCUCACCAAGGCGUCGACGGGUAGCUGGUCUGAGAGGACGAUCAGCCACACUGGAACUGAGACACGGUCCAGACUCCUACGGGAGGCAGCAGCAGGGAAUAUUGCACAAUGGGCGAAAGCCUGACGCAGCAACGCCGCGUGAGGGAUGACUGCCUUCGGGUUGUAAACCUCUUUCAGUGGGGACGAAAUUGACGGUACCCACAGAAGAAGCACCGGCCAACUACGUGCCAGCAGCCGCGGUAAUACGUAGGGUGCAAGCAUUGUCCGGAUUUAUUGGGCGUAAAGAGCUCGUAGGCGGCUUAACAAGUCGGCCGUGAAAUACCGAGGCUCAACCUCGGGGAGCCGGUCGAAACUGUUAUAGCUAGAGUACGGUAGAGGAGAGUGGAAUUCUCGGUGUAGCGGUGGAAUGCGCAGAUAUCGAGAGGAACACCAGUAGCGAAGGCGGCUCUCUGGGCCGUUACUGACGCUGAGGGGCGAAAGCGUGGGGAGCAAACAGGAUUAGAUACCCUGGUAGUCCACGCUGUAAACGUUGGGAACUAGGUGUUGCGGUCUGAUCAAUGACUGCGGUGCCGAAGCUAACGCAUUAAGUU
rnacentral:rRNA from 1 species